AUGGCGAUCAAGACCUCUUUCAAAGAACAAACCAAAACUAAGACUCAAGACCCAAAGUCCUACAUCAUGACAACGCACCAGCUGCCACCCAAGGACAGAAUUUGGCCUUUGCAUAUGAUGUCCCUUGGACCCCUCUCCCCAGGUCCCGCCAGCACCUCCUUCGGAUCUGGAUGGAGCCCUAGUCACAGCUCUGACCACAAGGCUGAUAAUGGAGUCUUCCUUAUGCUGAUGAAUGAAGUGACCCUUAAUAAGAUGCAACCAGGCCAGAAAAAGCCAAAUGAGAAAGUUGGCAGCAUUAACUUCCAGGGACACCUGCAGCUGUGCAGAGAAGACUUUUCCAGAUCUACCUCUAGCUGGUGGUCGUGCAGAGGAAGGACUUUGUGCAGAUCCACGUGUUUCCAGAGUGAAGUCCCAGGGGUUAGGCUAGGCUGUGUGUGUAGCAGCUAUAGACCCAGACAUGACCAGGCAUCCUGCAGCCCCAAAAGGUGGCCUCCUGGGGGCUACAUGUAGGAGCAACCACACACCUUAUAAGAGGUGAGCUUCAGAUGGGAAAUUCUGUCCUCCAGAAUUCCUCUAAGGGAAACCACAGAGUUUGCUAGAAGGAAUGACUUGAUGAGCCCUCUUGGGGUAGGAGGAGAGGUCCUAGGGAGGGUGUGUUGGCUGGCUCCAAGACUUUGGGGUGAGGGUAGCAGUGUGAUAGAGGAGGGGAAUUUGGAUCCUCUAGAGGUCAAUCCAAGGAGAAGGUGAGGAGAAGAGGCAGGAGGAGGGAAGAGAGAAUACAGUAAGGCUGUGUGUUCCACAGUCAUUCCCCCUCACCCCAUCACCACUGUAUUUGACUCAGAACUUAAUCUAAAUGGAUGAAGGGACUAAGGUUGAGGUCUGCACGGCAGUGGGAGUAGGGAGGGCAGUGCGCUACAUGGGCAAAGUAGGAAUAGCACAUGGGCAUUCAGGAGCUGGACCCCUGAACAGAAGGUCUUGGAAUUAGCAGACAUUGUAGCCAGAACUUUAGACUCUCGGAGGCCAUACAGAUGGCUGGGACCCAAUCUCUGUAUCUCCAAGGAUAUCUGGGUUAUAUAUGGAAAGAGAGAAGCAAGCUUGGCUAAGAAUAAUGGGGAAAGCUGUGCCACUCAUAUUUCUAUUUCCACCCUCUCCCAGCAUCAAGCCAGCAAAUAAUAAGCUCAAUAAGGCAAUGAUCCUGAUGGAGCCCGUCAGCCACCUCUGGGAGUGUGAGGAAACUGAGAUCCAGACAGGGCAGUGAUGUGCCACAUUCCGCACCAUUUCUGGAAUGGUGUGCCAUUCUGUGCCAAUGCUGAACUCUGGAGGAGGAGAGAGACAACAGAGGACACCUGACAGCGUAUGGGAAUAAGAGUGGAGACCUUACUCCGGACUCUGGUCUGGCUUGGAAGCAUUCGAGAGGGGCUAGAAGUCCCUAAUUUUGUAGGUGGGAGAGGAACAGAGAAAUACUGUUUUGUUACUAUUGUCAUUUCUGUUUUGUAGACUCAGUUGAAUACCACUAGGACGGGUCACACGAUUUUGAAUGUGUUAACACCUCGGCCAUGGAGCAGCCAUCUGGUAGGAAAGCAUUUACCCAGGCAAAGUGCUCUGGUGAUUUAGAUGAGUCAGUGACUGGGUGACAACGGCCAGAAGUCAGAAAAUGGGGAGAAGAGGCACCAUGUGGCAGAGAUUAUGCUAGAUCAGCAUUCAAACACCUGAGUGCAAGUUCCUGCCCUAUUGGUGGGCAGAUUACUUAUUACUUAUUGUCUGUGAUACUCGAGAGACAUCAGUGAAACAGGAUAAUGUCCCCAAUGCCACAGCAACAGACCCCCUCAUCAAGGCACAACCCCAUAGUUUGUAAGCUGCUGCUGCAAUCCUUUCUGCCCCUGACUUUAUAAAUGAUCCCCUCUAAAGAAAAAAUGUAAAUUCAUGGUGAGUUUUGUAAGCCUCAAUUGUUUCACCUGUGAAAUAGAAUCAGUAACCCCUACCUCCUACGUCUACUACAUGUUUAUGAGAUAAUGGCUGUAAAUGUAUUUCACAAACUGUAAAGUGUUGCACGUGUAUAAAUGACCACCAUUAGGUUAAACCACCUGAUAUUCAGUCAUUUUAGAACUACUACAAAACAGAAAUUUCACAUGGUUCGACCUAAAACUAUCAUUUUUUUGUGAUUAUCAACAUUAGGCUGACAAAUCGCAUUUGUGGAGAUUUCAGAAAAAGGUAGGUUUAAAAAUGGACUUUUGGGGAUCCCUGGGUGGCUCAGUGGUUUAGCGCCUGCCUUUGGCCCAGGGCGUGAUCCUGGAGCCCCGGGAUCGAGUCCCAUGUCGGGCUCCCUGCAUGGAGCCUGCUUCUCCCUCUGCCUGUGUCUCUGCCUCUCUCUCUCUCUCUCUCUCUCUCUCUCUCUCUGUGUGUGUGAUCCUCAUGAAUAGAUAAAUAAAAUCUUUAAGAGAAAUAAAUAAAAAUGGACU
rnacentral:lncRNA from 1 species